GACGAACGCUGGCGGCGUGCUUAACACAUGCAAGUCGAACGGAAAGGCCCUGCUUUUGUGGGGUGCUCGAGUGGCGAACGGGUGAGUAACACGUGAGUAACCUGCCCUUGACUUUGGGAUAACUUCAGGAAACUGGGGCUAAUACCGGAUAGGAGCUCCUGCUGCAUGGUGGGGGUUGGAAAGUUUCGGCGGUUGGGGAUGGACUCGCGGCUAAUCAGCUUGUUGGUGGGGUAGUGGCUUACCAAGGCUUUGACGGGUAGCCGGCCUGAGAGGGUGACCGGCGACAAUGGGACUGCGGGACGGCGCAGAGGGCUACGGGGGGCAGCGGUGGGGAAUAUUACACAAUGGGCGGAAGCGUGUGGCGGCGGCGCCGCGUGCGUGAUGACGGCCUUCGGGUGGUGAACCGCAUGCGCCUGUUACGAGGCGUGAGUGACGGUAAUGGGUGAAGAAGCACCGGCUAACUACGUG
rnacentral:rRNA from 1 species